GCAAUUCAUCGGAUAAAAAAUUAAUUUCAUUCUCUUCUUCUUUAGUUGCGUAUUCUAGAAGAUAUUUGGCAGCAUCAAUAAAACCUGCAUUUACAGCCGUCUUUUGCAUAAUUUCGUUUUCAUUGAUUAUGAUGGCGAGAAUACGAGGAGCGAUUUGUUUUGCUUCUCGAGAUUCAAAAAAUAAACGGAUGAGAAUGGGAGUUACUAUCAUUUGAAUCUCCUUAGUUUGAUUUUUAGAAAGGAUGCCUGCCUUGUAUAGGGUCACUAAACAAGAAAUUGAGAGCAAGCGAAUACAAGGAUCAAACUGUCUAACGAGACAGAAUAACUGAGUAAUAUAUUCAUCACCAUUAGGCCCAAAUAUCUCUGAUUUAAAUAAGGCGACCUUAUCCUUGUUUCCCUCAAAAACAUUUUCAAUUUCAUCUAAAUCCAUAUCGCGAGGCGAAACGUGACCAUUUGAUUCUAGCCGGGUUUUCUCUCUUUGUUUAUAAGACUUCACAUGCUGUUUUAAAUAAGCAUUCAAAGUACCCAGGGAGUUAGUAAUUAAGAUAGAGCAAUCAUUCCAAAAUCUUCUUCUGGAAUACAAGCGCAAUUGGGUAGCUCUGUUAGUGAUUUGAAAUAAAGCAGAACAGAAUCGUGGAGAGUCUCCAACUUUAGAGUUAUAAAGGAUAAGACGAUGCAAAAUCUUAGAAGAUAAAUUUGAGAUACGCAACACAUCAAGAGAAGGUUGUUCUUUCAAGGGUAAAGUAUACAAGUCAAACAUUUGAUUAAUUAUAGAGUCCGAAUGUAACUGAGUGACAUAUUCUGCUGCUUUGUCAAAACUC